AGAAAUCCGACUUUGCAAUUUGAUGUCUUGAAAUUGGCCUCUGUCUCUAUAAAAAGCUCUUAAAAUGUUUGCAUUAUGAUUGCAAACAGUAACAGCUUAUUCUAGGUUUUUUCUGCUGACAAUGUGUUGAGCCAAAGACAGAUGUUAUAGGUCUCCAAAUGCGUUGUAGAGGUGAUUUACUAAUGCAAGAGACGAUAAGAUAGUAGAUAAACAACAACUUAGUUUUUUCACUGAUAGCCCAAAUAUUACACACAGCAAACAUCAUAUUUUUAGGCAGAAUUUUGAGUACUGAUUUUAAUAUAAUCUUUUCAUCUUGAAUUUUGCUGAACAGCAUAAUGCUGUUUGUAGCUUUGUGUAGUUAGCACUAAAGCAAGACUUAUUUUAAAAGGUGUUGCUAAAAAAAAUAACCACUUGCAUAAAGUGGCUCUUCAUCGUA